rnacentral:pre_miRNA from 1 species
UUGUGAAUGAGCAAAGAAAGUGGUUUUUUGGAAUGGAAUCUACUCCUGGUGAAGAUGCAGCAAA